AGAUGGGAGCUUGCUCCCUGAUGUUAGCGGCGGACGGGUGAGUAACACGUGGGUAACCUGCCUGUAAGACUGGGAUAACUCCGGGAAACCGGGGCUAAUACCGGAUGGUUGUUUGAACCGCAUGGUUCAGACAUAAAAGGUGGCUUCGGCUACCACUUACAGAUGGACCCGCGGCGCAUUAGCUAGUUGGUGAGGUAACGGCUCACCAAGGCGACGAUGCGUAGCCGACCUGAGAGGGUGAUCGGCCACACUGGGACUGAGACACGGCCCAGACUCCUACGGGAGGCAGCAGUAGGGAAUCUUCCGCAAUGGACGAAAGUCUGACGGAGCAACGCCGCGUGAGUGAUGAAGGUUUUCGGAUCGUAAAGCUCUGUUGUUAGGGAAGAACAAGUGCCGUUCAAAUAGGGCGGCACCUUGACGGUACCUAACCAGAAAGCCACGGCUAACUACGUGCCAGCAGCCGCGGUAAUACGUAGGUGGCAAGCGUUGUCCGGAAUUAUUGGGCGUAAAGGGCUCGCAGGCGGUUUCUUAAGUCUGAUGUGAAAGCCCCCGGCUCAACCGGGGAGGGUCAUUGGAAACUGGGGAACUUGAGUGCAGAAGAGGAGAGUGGAAUUCCACGUGUAGCGGUGAAAUGCGUAGAGAUGUGGAGGAACACCAGUGGCGAAGGCGACUCUCUGGUCUGUAACUGACGCUGAGGAGCGAAAGCGUGGGGAGCGAACAGGAUUAGAUACCCUGGUAGUCCACGCCGUAAACGAUGAGUGCUAAGUGUUAGGGGGUUUCCGCCCCUUAGUGCUGCAGCUAACGCAUUAAGCACUCCGCCUGGGGAGUACGGUCGCAAAACUUAAACUCAAAGGAAUUG
rnacentral:rRNA from 1 species